CUUGUCAUGGUUUAAAUCUGUGUUUCCCUCAUGGCUAAUAAUGUUGAACAACAUUUCAUCUGCUUAUUGUCCAUCUGUGUAUCCUCUCUGGGGAAAUGUCCAUUCAAGUCUUUUGCCCAUUUUGAAAAUUGGGUUUUCUUGCUACUGAGCUUUGUUUCAUUUUUUCUUUUUUCUUUUUUUUUUUUUUUUUGAGGACGAUUAGCCCUGAGCUAACAUCUGCAGGCAAUCUUCUUUUUGCUGAGGAAGGCUGGCCCUGAGCUAACAUCCGUGCCCACCUUCCUCUACUUUAUAUGUGGGAUACCUGCCACAGCAUGGCUUGAUAAGUGGUGUGUAGGACCCUGCCUGGGAUCCGAACCAGUGAACCCUGGGCCACCAAAGCAGAGCAUGCAAACUUAACUGCUGCACCACGGGGCCAGCUCCUUCUUGCUGGCUCUCUCAGGUGAUGGACAAGGAACCAGAGUGGAAGGAGUUUUUCACAGACUGGUCGCUUCUCUGGCUCCGCCCCCAGACAAGUGUCUCAAUACCCGUGACCUUCAGUUCCCUCAUCCAGAUGACAGAAAUCCUCAGGCUCGCCAGCCUCCCUCCCUGGACCAUGAACAGGCUCUGACAACUCUCAAGCACAGUUAUAAUUCCAAGUUAUGUUGUGAUGAAAAGAAAAUGGAGCUGAUCUUGUUAAGUUUCCCAAGGAAAUCUGCAUAGUUCUCUGACCCCUUUCCCAGAGACCAGAGAGGAAAUUGAGAAUGAAGCCCCAGCGGAGCCAGCACCCUGAAAGAAGUGUGUGCAAGCCAUGGAUUUCGAAAUAGAGAUCCUGUCCUCCCGGCUGUGUGGCACAUGAUCGCUGUCCAAUAAAUAUGAAUUGAUGAAUGGCUGAGUGGGGCUUUGUUUUGUUUUGUUUUCAUUUUUUGCAAACUCUCUUAUGACUGUGGAGGGAAAACUAAAUUAAUG
rnacentral:lncRNA from 1 species